rnacentral:rRNA from 1 species
UACGGAGGAUGCGAGCGUUAUCCGGAUUUAUUGGGUUUAAAGGGUGCGUAGGCGGACGCUUAAGUCAGCGGUAAAAUUGCGGGGCUCAACCUCGUCGAGCCGUUGAAACUGGGGGUCUUGAGUGGGCGAGAAGAAGGCGGAAUGCGUGGUGUAGCGGUGAAAUGCAUAGAUAUCACGCAGAACCCCGAUUGCGAAGGCAGCCUUCCGGCGCCCUACUGACGCUGAGGCACGAAAGUGCGGGGAUCGAACAGG